GGCCUCUGUGCUCUGCUGGGUCACACCAGCCCAGUGUGUGCUUGGCUUAUUUUUAAGGGAGAGGUGGUCUUCUCCGUUCCUAGGAGUGCAACAGAU
rnacentral:snoRNA from 1 species